rnacentral:rRNA from 1 species
UGGGGAAUAUUGGACAAUGGGGGGAACCCUGAUCCAGCCAUGCCGCGUGUGUGAAGAAGGCCUUUUGGUUGUAAAGCACUUUAAGCGAGGAGGAGGCUACCGAGAUUAAUACUCUUGGAUAGUGGACGUUACUCGCAGAAUAAGCACCGGCUAACUCUGUGCCAGCAGCCGCGGUAAUACAGAGGGUGCAAGCGUUAAUCGGAUUUACUGGGCGUAAAGCGCGCGUAGGGGGCCAAUUAAGUCAAAUGUGAAAUCCCCGAGCUUAACUUGGGAAUUGCAUUCGAUACUGGUUGGCUAGAGUAUGGGAGAGGAUGGUAGAAUUCCAGGUGUAGCGGUGAAAUGCGUAGAGAUCUGGAGGAAUACCGAUGGCGAAGGCAGCCAUCUGGCCUAAUACUGACACUGAGGUGCGAAAGCAUGGGGAGCAAACA